GGGAAAGAGGGAGGAAGGACUAACACCUGCAAGUCGCGCGGAUGAAGGGAGCUUGCUCCUGGAUUCAGCGGCGGACGGGUGAGUAAUGCCUAGGAAUCUGCCUGGUAGUGGGGGAUAACGUCCGGAAACGGGCGCUAAUACCGCAUACGUCCUGAGGGAGAAAGUGGGGGAUCUUCGGACCUCACGCUAUCAGAUGAGCCUAGGUCGGAUUAGCUAGUUGGUGGGGUAAAGGCCUACCAAGGCGACGAUCCGUAACUGGUCUGAGAGGAUGAUCAGUCACACUGGAACUGAGACACGGUCCAGACUCCUACGGGAGGCAGCAGUGGGGAAUAUUGGACAAUGGGCGAAAGCCUGAUCCAGCCAUGCCGCGUGUGUGAAGAAGGUCUUCGGAUUGUAAAGCACUUUAAGUUGGGAGGAAGGGCAGUAAGUUAAUACCUUGCUGUUUUGACGUUACCAACAGAAUAAGCACCGGCUAACUUCGUG
rnacentral:rRNA from 1 species